UGGCGACAAAAUUGAAAUUCUUUUGUCAUCCAUAGUUGUGUGAGUGUUGCUCUGUAAUGGCCGACAUUGAUCAAAAGUCUUGUGGCAAAGUGUUCACGCGACAAAAUUCGACUUUUUCAACGAAUUCGGGCAUUUGGACUAAUUAGGAAGUGCAGUACGUGCUACGUGAAUUACUGCAGUGCAUUUUGUUGCCCAUUAGACACUACCAAAGUGACUCUUUGCCCCAUAAAAAUGCAUUAAUUGUAUGUGGUAGAAGGAGGUAAAAAAAAUUUUUUCUAGAGUUGCACCUCCACCCUAAUUUUGUGUUAAAGAAAAGAAAAGUUAAAGAUACAAAACUCUGGGGUACUUUGUGUUGCACUGAAAUGGAAUAGAAGUGCAUCAUACACCUCAAGUUGGGGGGUGUGAAGAAAAUUCCAAUUUGACUUGCAAGAAGUGAAUGAACAAGGGUUGCCCCAGCAGUGAAUGCAAUAAUAUAUGUAUAGUAUUCGGUGGAAUCUUCAUACCUACAUAUAAUAAUAAUAAUUUUUUUUUAAUCUUAAGAGUAACAAUUUAAUAGUUCCGGAUUCUCAAGUAUAAAUCUCCUUAAAUAACAAAGAAGAAAGAAAAAAAAACCUAAAGUGUGUCUUACGUGUGGAAAACAGUGCAGAUUAUAUUAGUGGGGUUCAUCAAUGGGAAAUGGGAAUUGAUUGAACGUGAAGAAAAUUGACUACAUAUUAGUUUCUUUUUUUUUUUUAAACAAAAAGUGGAUCACCCCCAUGGAGGGUCUUCGCAAAAAUGUAUUUUUUGCGAGUAUGUUGCAAUUGCAUUUGUAGGAGAAAAUAAGGCAUCAGGGCUCUGUUUGCAUCCUAUUGUGUGUCUCCUUCCUUUUUUUCUUCUCCGGAGUCGAACCUACAUUCCAAGGAGAAUAGGGGAGACUCCAAUUGAAAGGAAAAAAAAAUACAACAACAACAGAAAGAAAGCAGAGAUAAAAAAAGGCAAAACUAGCCAUUGAGGAACAUUGUAACAUGGUUACAGUGGCAAGAGGUGACUGUACUUCACGGCGCCGUAGUGGACGAUCCCCAAAGAGACGAGAACGUGCAGUGGGUAGCGGCAGGAUGAGUCUCCUUGUUAUCUGUGGACGUCACAGAUCACCAUCGUGCAUCAGUAUCAUAUUUCUCAUCUGCCUUGAAACUCUUCUGCUCUUCACAGUUUCCAAUUGUGCCAAAACAUUUUAUAUGCACUGGAACACAACGAACAGCAUAUUCCGAAUAGAUAAUACAGAUCACAUAAUUGAUGUAAACAAGGGUAAUCUGGCGUUUGAAUACGACCAAGUUCAUAUUAUAUGUCCAGUAUAUGAACCGGGGACAUUUGAUAAUGAAACCGAAAAGUACAUAAUCUAUAAUGUUUCAAAGGCUGAGUACGAGACAUGCCGGAUUACAAAUGCAAAUCCAAGAAUCAUAGCUGUAUGCGAUAAGCCGCAAAAGCUAAUGUUCUUCACCAUUACUUUUAGACCUUUUACACCACAACCAGGUGGAUUGGAAUUCCUUCCUGGGAAUGAUUACUAUUUCAUCUCAACAUCCUCAAAAGAUGAUUUACAUCGUAGAAUUGGGGGUCGUUGUUCAACAAAUAAUAUGAAGGUGGUCUUCAAAGUUUGCUGUAGCGAAAAGAAGGUUUCACCAUCGCGGGAAAUUGCAAAGAAUGUUAGCGUUGCAUUUGGUGAGAGAAAUUCAACAAUCCCAUAUGUAACAGUUGAUGGUUCUGGCGUGGCUAUUAAUACCAACAUCGAUACACCACGGGAUCUACCACCCCUCUUGCCAAGUAUUAAUUCAAAUGCAAGCAAUGUGGUACAAUCAACAAUGAGUUGGCCUACAUGGCGAGGCAGUAGUCAUGAUGAGAUUCAUCGAAAUGCAUCAAUAGCUAUUACAUCGCCUCGACCAACUAUUAACAGUCCUGUGAAUGUCAACAGCAAUCAUGCGCCGUCCCAUAAGCCAACUAAAAAAACAAAUGAAUACGACAAACACCCCAACGAGGUGGUGAAAAACGAAGAACUGACCUACAGCAGUGGUGCUCGAGGCAUAAAUUGGAAUUAUCCCAACACUAGUCUUAGUUGUAUCUUAAGUAUUACCCUAUGGAUGUUGGCGCACCUACGUGCACACGUAUUGGAUCGGUGAGCAUAGGCUGAAGUCAUAAUUAUUAUGUCAUCAUUGUCGAGUGCCCAUUGAUCACACAAGUAAAAAAAAACAUGACACACACACGCAUGAUUUGUCGAGAAACAAAAAAAAAUUGACCAUUCAAAUCAUGCAUAGAAGCUAAUUUAAAUAGGUACCGACUAAUUGUAAGAAGGAAUUUUUUUUGUUUAUUCAUUCUUAUCAAAAUAUUUAUCAUUGUAACCACCCCCCUCCUUUUUUAUUUUAUUUUUUUUUUUUAUAUACAUAUGUAUUUUUUAAAUAUUCACAUUUAAAAGGCUGAAUGGCAGCAUUUAAAAGAAAAUGAAACACAAUUUCCCCAAAAUAAAAAAAAAAGAAAAUGAGAAAUCUCAUAAAGAAUCUCAGAAAUUUGUGUUUUAUAUACAAACACUGAAGAGACAUAAUGAAAAAAACUAACUUUAAUGUUAAAUAGAGCCUCCAUUGCAUAAAAUGCAUUAAAAGAAAAAAAAACACCAACAUAAUCCAACGUGGAAAUGCAGGGAGUUCUCAAUUAUUUAUAUUAUAUAUUUCUACCUACCUAUUUACUUUUUUUUACAUUCUUAAUAAAGCAACAAGUCAAAAAAUAAAAUAAAAUUUGCAACAAGUAUUCUAUUCUAUAUAAUUAUUACAAAGAAAGGUCCCCCAAUCAAUGGUCUUUCCCCAUUUAAUUAUUAUCUGUGUGAAAUAAUAAAUAAUGUAGUUCAAAAGAAUAAAAAAAAAACUUAGAAUGAGAGUCGUGUUCUUAUUCAAAGUUUUACAAUAGACUGGCUGAUUUAUUUAUAUACAUAAUGUAAUUCUGUUUUAAGGUUUCACACCUUAUUGGUGGUAACCGUAGACAGAUUAUAAAAUCUUUUACAAUAAAUAUACCUUACAUUUGUGUGCUGACUGUCUCACUGCAUUUUCUCGUUUAAUAAAUUAAUUAAUUAAUAAAGAAAGAUUUCAAAUCACCCCGAAAGUCCUAGUUUUUAGAUAAAACACACACCUCCUCCUCAUUGUCUUGUUUCUUUUUUUUUUUUUUUUAAUAAAUGAACAAACAAUAUAUAAUAUUAUUUUUUCGUGUGUUGAAUAAAUGACAAUUAUAGUGAAUAAAUUUAUUGAUGGAGGAUUUAUAGUGGAUUUAGAGAACGAUAAAAAAAAAUAUUUAAAUGCGAAUGAGAAAACAAUCGUCCAUUUCUUUAAAUUAAAAAAAGAAAAACAUGCCCCACGAACAAACUAAAAUAGUAGAUAAAUAAUUCCUUUUGUGUAUUAAGAAGAAAUAACUACUACCCACUACUACACACACACGCAGACUUUUUUCUGUACUUAAGCUCUCUACGCUGAAAAAGCUUUAAAUUCUUAUUCUUUUUUGUUCGUAAAAAAAUUAUAUGUCUGAUAAAGUAAUCUUAAACAAUUUUAGUAUUCAUCAGCGUAAAGGCAGCAUAUAAUUUUAGAAGAAAGCAUAAUUCUCAUUUUUUAUUUAACAUUUAUUUUUUCUCAUAACAAAUAGCCAUAGAAAGAGCUAAAAGAGCUUGAAGAUCAACAUUCUAAGCAAAUGAAAUUUGGUAAUUUGAUAGCUUCUAAAGGGUUUAAGGACACUUAAGUUCCUUUCAUUUGAAAUUUUCUAACGUUUUGGUGAGUUAGAGAGAGAGAGAGAGAGAAACUUUAUUGUUCUCUCUUAUUCAUUCUCAUGUAAAAUAUAUGUUAUUUAACUUCAAGUGCUUGAAGCUUUAGUGUAUUAACCCUUUCGCAUUUAUUGAGUCACAUGCUGACCCCCAAUCAUAAAAUAUUGUAUUCUCUCGAAUUUUUUCGUAAUUUAAUUGAUUCUUUAACUCAUAAAAACUCGAAUUUUACUAUUAUAAAAUAAAAAUAAUUUCAAGAACUGCCAUAUGUAUUAAAAAAAAUGCAAUUAAAAAUAUUUUUUUCUGCUAAUGAAACAACAACAAAAAACUAAAACAUGACGAAACUAUAGUAAAAUCUUAAUAAAUGUUUAUCUUUUUAAUUUCUUCUUUUAUUUACAUACAUAUUUAUAUUUUCGAAUUCUAUGAAUUCCAAAUUCAACAACUAUAAUAAAGUAAAGAAAAAAAGAUGAAGAAUGUAAUGUGGGGCAUAAAUUGUAAAUAAAUUUUAAUAAUGAGACAUGUGCAUUAUGAAUAAUGAUGAUGAUGAUGAUAAAAAACACACACUUUCGAAUGAGAAAAAAAAACUAUAAAUGAAUAUAAGGUGAGAAAAAAAGAAGAAAAACACGUAGAAAUGAAAUUACCACGUAAGAAAGGAAUAAAUAAUCACUAAAAAAAAGUAUAAUUUAAGUUAGUUGCUAUAGAACUGAAAGGAGAAAUUUACAAUUGUAAGUGAUUAGGCCAUAAGAUAUAAAAUGUAAACAUAAAUAAUAAAAUAACAAUAAUAAAUAAUAUUAAUAUUAAAAGAUGAAGAAGAAAAAAAGUGAAUUAAAUACUUAAAUAAUGUUACGUGUGUAAAAUGAAAAUAAAAAUCAUAGGAUUGAAGUAUAUCUGGGGAAAAGACAGAGGUUUACUUAAAAAGAUUUAAAUAAAAAUGAAGAAAAAAAACUGAUGAUGAAUAAAUGAAAAGCACGAAAGAAUGCAAAAGCAAAAAAAAAUUAAGAUGAAGUUACUACAAAAAGUAUACAUGAGAAAAACACUACAAUGUGUAUAAAAUAAAUAUAUUAUGUAUAAAAAAUAUUUUGUUGGUUUUUUUAUUUCUUUUUCGUGACAUUUCGGAGAUGUGCUUUGUCACCUUCGUCAGGUAUGAAAAAUUUCUAUUCUUUGAUUAUAAGGUAGGUAUACAUACAGUAUGUUGUUGGAGGGUUAUUAUAUAGUUCAUACACAAAAAAUCGUUUCGCCCCGACAGAUGUCGCUGCGCAUGCGUUCAACUACACCACACCACCCAUUUUUUUCCACCCUCUCAUACCUUACAUACAUAGCAAUGUACAGUAUGUAGGUAUCUGUUAUCCGUGAUAAUGGAGUGCGCAUCAAAAAUUCAGAGUGAUUUUCUCCUUGGAGGACUACAAAGCAAAAAAAAAGAGAAAAAAAGUAAUUUGUGAAAACACUGCCAUAAAUAAAAAUAUAAAAUUUAAAAGAACAAUUUGUGUGCCGAAUAAUGCUUUUGAAUUUAGUGGACAAGCUCGGAUAACAAUUCAAAUCAUUAUGUUUUGUUGAAGGGAAAAAAAGCAGCAAAGAAUUGAGACAUCAUGCUAACUGAAGCAUACGGUGAUAUAAGGUGCAUAAGUUGUGAAAGGGAGGGUACUUGAAGGAGAGAGAGCCUCAUUUUUUCCUACCCUUGGAUUGUUACAAAGCUAUUUUUGUGUGUGAAGUGAGAGUUUGAACGUUACAACAAAAAAAAAUUGUUAGCAAAUAAAAGCAGUAUUUUUCAUCCUCGAUUUUAUCAAAUUGUAAUAAAAAAAAAUUGUUGGUUCUUUCUCUAAUUUCGUUGGUUUCCUCUCGGUGUUACAGGUGUGGCGGAACACAGUGUUAUCAAAACCAAAAGUGCACCUUUUUGCCAUAUGUGAUAGUGCGCAAUUGAUGGAUAUUAUAUUAUAGAGAGAGAGUACAAAAUCAAUUGCUUUUGUGAGCAUUUAGAUGAAGAUGAAAAACACAAAAAAAAAAAUUUAAAAAGUUGGUUCAUCAAAUGAUAGAAUUUAAUGUGAUUUGAAAAGUAUAUAAAACUAUUUAAAUUUUGUGUGUGUUUGUUGUUUAACAAAAAAAAGGAAGAAUAUCAACGAAUCUUUGAGAAAUGUCAAGAGUUAUAUCGAUACCUUAAAAAAAGGAGCACAAAUUUAUUAUAUAUAUUACAUUACAUACAUAAUAUGUAAUUAAGGAAGCAAUUGGCUUUUUUGUUGUAAUAAUUAUUAUGCUUAUUUCAUUCGUGAUUUGAACUUCUGAUUGCUUAGAUAAUUGCAAUAUUAUACAAAACCUCGAUGUUCACACAGCGAAAUUGUUAAAAUAUGAGCUUAUCAAUGAAAGCGGCAAUCUACCACAAACUUCAAAUUGAAUUGUGGAUAAGUUUGUGUUGUUUAGCAAAAGAUGGGAUCAAUAUUUGCAUUGUUUAGAUCGCAUCAAAAAUCAUCUGGGUGCGUCUAAGGCACAGGAUUGUUAUAGAGAGUAUACUACUCUAUUUGAUUUUCAUUGUGGAAUAUCAG